CCAGCCCCCGGGUCGGCCCACCGCAGUCCUGCCCAGCGUCCAACUGCAAGAGACAGAGUCUCACUGUACCGCCCUCGAGUAGAGUGCCGUGGCAUCAUACGGCUCACAGCAACCUCUAACUCCUGGGCUUACGCGAUUCUCUUGCCUCAGCCUCCGGAGCAGCUGGGACUACAGAGAGACAGAGUCUCACUUUACCGCCCUGGAUAGAGUGCCAUGAUGUCACAGGACUCACAGCAACCUCCAGCUCCUGGGCCUACAUGAUUCGCCUACCUCAGCCUCCUGAGCAGCUGGGACUACAGGCGCCCGCCACAGUGCCCGGCUAUUUUUUCAUUGCAGUUUGGCUGGGGCUGGGUUUGAACCCGCCACCCUCGGUAUAUGGGGCCGGUGCCCUACUCCUGGGUUAUGGGGCUUCCCCCUCAGAGCCCCACAAGCCUGUUCUCUUCUGUGUCCCCAGCAUCAUGUGCACAUGAUGGAAUAAAUGAAUGAUGAAUGGAGGAUAGAUGGAGGAGGGGUAGAUGUAUGUAUGGAUAAGCCGAUGGAUGGAGGGGUGGGUGGAUGGAUAGAUGGGUAAGUGGAUGGAUGGAUAGAUAAAUGUUAUGUAUGGAUGAUAGGAUGGACAAUGGAAAGUGGAUGGAUGGAUGGAUGGAUGGAUGGAUAAGUGUAUUCGUGGAUGGGUGGGUGGAUGAAUGAUGUAUCAAAGAGCCAUGAGACCACAAAAAAGAAACUAUAGGACUAUGGAAUGAGACUCAUAACAUCAUGUUGAUGGAGCCAUGGAACUGUGUAGUCCUAGGACCAUGGGACCACAGAAUUAGAGAUCCACAAAACACAGUCAACAGAAACACAGAACCAUAGGGUGGUGGAAACCAAAGGACCCUGUGCGGGAUGCUAUGGGGCUUCCCACAACUGAGGUGCCACCAGGAUGGAGUCUCAGAGUGGACCCCAACUGAAUGACCCUCUUGGCCAUACCCCCACAUGUUGGCUGUCAAGGAGGCUCCUAGGGGUCACAAAGUGCUUCCUUCUCCCAUCUCUGGGGCAGCCACAGGAGAGAAGGACCACAACAUCACCAGUGCCUACAGCCAGCCAGCUGUCAAAUGCUCAGAAAGCCCCUCUGCCAGGGCCAAGUGAGGUUGUCCAGGCAUCA